CUGAGAAGUCACACAAACUUUGUGCUGUACAUGAGCAGGUCCACCAAGAAAGGACCAUUGUGCAAGGCUCAGGCAGGAUGUCCCUGAACUCCCGCCGGUCUCCAUGGACAGAAGCUGAGGAGAGGCUCUGCAGCCAGGCUCUUGAAAGCCUUUCUAGCCAGCCUACCUCAAAAGUAGUAUGUUUCCAGUAGGGCUGGAAUGCAUCAAUUUGCAAAAAUGUACUUUUAUAAUCUCCAAUACCUAAA
rnacentral:lncRNA from 10 species